AAGCCAGCCAAUCUAUCUGCAUCUAAAAUGUUUUUGCAGAAAUUUAGAGAAGGCUGGCAAUAUUGAUGCCAUGUUACGAGCCUUGAGGACAGCUAAAGUCUUUAAGGUCCCUGAAAAUGGCUACAGAA